CCCUGAUCUUAUCCCAGUGAGACCAGAGACCCAUGCUGGAUGUCUGAGAUACUAGAACACUUACAGUGCUGCAGAAAUGGUCCAAAUAUGGAGACUCUAAUAAACCAUUAGCACAGACUACACAAUGCAACUGAUGAUGGUCUAGAAGAUGAAUUUGCAUCAUCAGCCUCUUGUGAAAAAUACUAAGAUCACACAAAACUUAAGUGCCAUGCAAAUGAAAUUGAGA